AACGGCGAGUGAAGCGGCAAAAGCUCAAAUUUGAAAUCUGGCUUCGGCCCGAGUUGUAAUUUGUAGAGGAUGUUUCGGGCACCGCCCCGGCGUAAGUCCCUUGGAACAGGGCGUCAUAGAGGGUGAGAAUCCCGUCUGGCGUCGUGGUAGGGCCCAUGUGAAACUCCUUCGACGAGUCGAGUUGUUUGGGAAUGCAGCUCAAAAUGGGUGGUAAAUUUCAUCUAAAGCUAAAUACUGGCCAGAGACCGAUAGCGCACAAGUAGAGUGAUCGAAAGAUGAAAAGCACUUUGAAAAGAGAGUUAAACAGUAUGUGAAAUUGUUGAAAGGGAAGCGCUUACAACCAGACUUGAGCCCGUCGGUUCCCCCUCGCUUCUGCGUGGGCUACUCCGGCGGGUCCAGGCCAACAUCGGUUCGGGUGGCUGGUCAAAGGCCCCGGGAAUGUACCUCACCUUCGGGUUAGGCUUAUAGCCCGGGGUGUCAUGCGGCCUACCUGGACCGAGGAACGCGCUUCGGCUCGGAUGUUGGCGUAAUGGUUGUCAGCGACCCGUCUUGAAACACGGACCAAGGAGUCGAAGAGCUAUGCGAGUGUUUGGGUGUCAAACCCGUACGCGUAAUGAAAGUGAACGGAGGUAGGAAGCUUCGGCUGCACUAUCGACCGAUCCUGAUGUUCUCGGAUGGAUUUGAGUAAGAGCAUAACUCUCCGGACCCGAAAGAUGGUGAACUAUGCCUGAAUAGGGUGAAGCCAGAGGAAACUCUGGUGGAGGCUCGCAGCGGUUCUGACGUGCAAAUCGAUCGUCAAAUUUGGGUAUAGGGGCGAAAGACUAAUCGAACCAGUAGCUGGUUCCUGCCGAAGUUUCCCUCAGGAUAGCAGUAACGUUUUCAGUUUUAUGAGGUAAAGCGAAUGAUUAGAGGCCUUGGGGUUGAAACAACCUUAACCUAUUCUCAACUUUAAAUAUGUAAGAAGUCCUUGUUACUUAGUUGAACGUGGACAUUUGAUGUAUCGUACUAGUGGGCAUUUUUGUAGCAG
rnacentral:rRNA from 1 species